CUACGGGUGGCAGCAGUGGGGAAUAUUGCACAAUGGGCGCAAGCCUGAUGCAGCCAUGCCGCGUGUAUGAAGAAGGCCUUCGGGUUGUAAAGUACUUUCAGCGGGGAGGAAGGGAGUAAAGUUAAUACCUUUGCUCAUUGACGUUACCCGCAGAAGAAGCACCGGCUAAAUCCGUGCCAGCAGCCGCGGUAAUACGGAGGGUGCAAGCGUUAAUCGGAAUUACUGGGCGUAAAGCGCACGCAGGCGGUUUGUUAAGUCAGAUGUGAAAUCCCCGGGCUCAGCCUGGGAACUGCAUCUGAUACUGGCAAGCUUGAGUCUCGUAGAGGGGGGUAGAAUUCCAGGUGUAGCGGUGAAAUGCGUAGAGAUCUGGAGGAAUACCGGUGGCGAAGGCGGCCCCCUGGACGAAGACUGACGCUCAGGUGCGAAAGCGUGGGGAGCAAACAGGAUUAGAUACCCUAGUAGUC
rnacentral:rRNA from 1 species